AGUGAACGCUGGCGGUAAGCCUAACACAUGCAAGUCGAACGGCGGCACAGUAAGAGCUUGCUCUUACGGGUGGCGAGUGGCGGACGGGUGAGGAAUACAUCGGAAUCUACUUUUUCGUGGGGGAUAACGUAGGGAAACUUACGCUAAUACCGCAUACGACCUACGGGUGAAAGCAGGGGAUCUUCGGACCUUGCGCGAUUGAAUGAGCCGAUGUCGGAUUAGCUAGUUGGCGGGGUAAAGGCCCACCAAGGCGACGAUCCGUAGCUGGUCUGAGAGGAUGAUCAGCCACACUGGAACUGAGACACGGUCCAGUCUCCUACGGGAGGCAGCAGUGGGGAAUAUUGGACAAUGGGCGCAAGCCUGAUCCAGCCAUACCGCGUGGGUGAAGAAGGCCUUCGGGUUGUAAAGCCCUUUUGUUGGGAAAGAAAAGCAGCAGGUUAAUACCCCGCUGUUCUGACGGUACCCAAAGAAUAAGCACCGGCUAACUUCGUG
rnacentral:rRNA from 1 species